GUUUAAUUGAUAUGCUUUACUAAAGAAGUACGUUUUCAAAGGUUUAUUUGAAGGAGUGGAGAUUGCGUGAAAGUCUAACAGAGAUGGGAAGGGCGUUCCAUAGGAAUGCUGCAGCCCUAGAGAAGUCUUUAACCCAUUAAGGACACAAGACAUGUGUGACACAUGACAUUACAGAAGUUUGGUCCUUAAGGGGUUAAGGUGAGCAUCAGAGGUAGGAGUAUGAAUGGAGGAUAGGCGUAGGUUUCCGGCAGAGCGUAGGGGCCUAGACCGGGAAAUAUUUGUGUAAUAGUGAGGAAAAGUAGGUCAGAGCAGCAUUGUGUAGAGAUUUGUAAGCAAGUAUCAGGAUCUUAAAUUGAGACGUAUAUCUUACGGGAAGCCAAUGUAGGGACUGUCAAAGUGGAGGAGG